rnacentral:rRNA from 1 species
AGCGUGGGAGCAAACAGAUAGAUACCUGUAGUCACGCCGUAAACGAUGAGUGCUAAGUGUAGAGGAUUCCUCCUUAGUGCUGAAGUAACGCAUAAGCACUCCGCUGGGAGUACGGCCGCAAGGCUGAAACUCAAAGGAAUGACGGGGGCCGCACAAGCGGUGGAGCAUGUGGUUUAAUUCGAAGCAACGCGAAGAACCUUACCAGGUCUUGACAUCCUCUGACAACCCUAGAGAUAGGGCUUCUCCUUCGGGAGCAGAGUGACAGGUGGUGCAUGGUUGUCGUCAGCUCGUGUCGUGAGAUGUUGGGUUAAGUUCCGCAACGAGCGCAACCCUUGAUUUUAGUUGCCAUCAAUUAGUUGGGCACUUUAAGGUGACUGCCGGUGACAAACCGGAGGAAGGUGGGGAUGACGUCAAAUCAUCAUGCCCCUUAUGACCUGGGCUACACACGUGGUACAAUGGACGGUACAAAGAGGUGCAAGACCGCGAGGUGGAGGUAAUUUCAUAAAACCGUUUUCAGUUUGGAUUGUAGGGUGCAACUUGCCUACAUGAAGCUGGAAUCGGUAGUAAUCGCGGAUCAGCAUGCCGCGGGGAAUACGUUCCCGGGCCUUGUACACACCGCCCGUCACACCCCGAGAGUUUGUAACACCCGAAGUCGGUGGGGUAACCUUUUGGAGCCAGCCGCUAAGGGGGACAGAGAGGGGGAUUAGUCGUAACAAGGUACCCGGUCGAAAGGUUCAGG